rnacentral:rRNA from 1 species
AGCGGCCGCGGUAAUUCCAGCUCCAAUAGCGUAUAUUAAAGUUGUUGCAGUUAAAAAGCUCGUAGUUGAAUUUCGGGAUCAGCGCGUCGGUCGUGCCUCCGGUAUGCACUGGCGCCGCUGGUUUCUCCCUUCUGAGGAACCGUGAUGUCAUUAAUUUGGUGUUGCGGGAAAUCAGGACUGUUACUUUGAAAAAUUAGAGUGUUUAAAGCGGGCACGCGCUUGAAUACAUUAGCAUGGAAUAACGAAAUAGGACGUUCGAUCUUAUUUUGUUGGUUUCUAGGAUUGACGUAAUGAUUAAUAGGGAUAGUUGGGGGCAUUAGUAUUCAAUUGUCAGAGGUGAAAUUCUUGGAUUUAUUGAAGACUAACUACUGCGAAAGCAUUUGCCAAGGAUGUUUUCAUUAAUCAAGAACGAAAGUUAGGGGAUCGAAGACGAUCAGAUACCGUCGUAGUCUUAACCAUAAACUAUGCCGACUAGGGAUCGGAUGAUGUUAAUUUUUUAAUGUACUCAUUCGGCGCCUUA